UGCAGCAGCAGCAGCAGCACCGGGACCAGCUACAACAUCUUGGAGUGGAAGGGGCCGUCUAUGUGCUGGAGUUAACAGUGGCUGCAACGCUCUGACAUCCACGUUGACAUUAUACAGCAAUCUUACACAACCACACAGAUUCUUUUGCCGGAGUCCGAAGUUUCAUCUAUGGACGCAGCACCACAAACCAGCGGAUUGAAUCGUGGUGGGGGAUCCUGAGGAAACAAAGUGCACAGUUUUGGAUCAACGUUUUCCAAACCCUC